GACGAACGCUGGCGGCGUGCCUAAUACAUGCAAGUCGAACGAGAGCGACCGGUGCUUGCACUGGUCAAUCUAGUGGCGAACGGGUGAGUAACACGUGGGUAACCUGCCCAUCAGAGGGGGAUAACAUCCGGAAACGGAUGCUAAAACCGCAUAGGUCUUCGAGCCGCAUGGCUUGAAGAGGAAAAGAGGCGCAAGCUUCUGCUGAUGGAUGGACCCGCGGUGCAUUAGCUAGUUGGUGAGGUAACGGCUCACCAAGGCCGUGAUGCAUAGCCGACCUGAGAGGGUGAUCGGCAACAUUGGGACUGAGACACGGCCCAAACUCCUACGGGAGGCAGCAGUAGGGAAUCUUCCGCAAUGGACGCAAGUCUGACGGAGCAACGCCGCGUGAGUGAAGAAGGUGUUCGGAUCGUAAAACUCUGUUGUUAGAGAAGAACAAGUGCUAGAGUAACUGUUAGCGCCUUGACGGUAUCUAACCAGAAAGCCACGGCUAACUACGUG
rnacentral:rRNA from 1 species